UUAAAAUGAAAAGCGGGGAAAGAGAAGCUUACUUACCUGGUUCUGGAAAUACCGAAGACAGUAGCAACAAUGGUUCUGGUCUCGGUGGCUUUCCUCUGCUUUUAUUUUUCUUUCUUUUGCUCUGCUUUUUUUGUUUCCCAUUGUUCUUCCCUCCUGCUCCUUCGUCUCCGUUUUCUUUUUUUCCCCUUUUGAGAUUGUGUUGGGGAAGAAAGCUUUUGGUCUGUGCUUUCGAAUUCCCCUGCUCUGGACGAAGACUAUGAUGGGACGAAGACAAUAGCAAGGCUAAUGCUUGUCUCUGUGUUGCUCCUCCCUUUUCUCUCCUUUUCUCUGUGAAUUUGUGCUUUUUUUGCUCUGUCUUUGCUCUGUUUUUCCUCCCCCCUUUUCCCCGGUUCAGCUCUCCUUUUUAUAGAGCUCGAGAGCUUCAAAACCAGUCCUGUCUUUGCAGGACUGUUAUUCAAAUCACAAACGGGAUCGUGGGCAGGAGACGAGGUCCACGAUUUGCUGCAGAUUUCCUGUUGAAUCGGCUUUCUCCGUGCGAAGCGAAAGGGAUGAUGAACAGUGCUUCCAAACGGCGCCGUUUGUGUCCUUGGGAAUGGCUAUUUUUCACUUUGGUCCCUAAACGUUUUAAACUCAACAAUUUGGAUCUUAAUCAGUAAUAAUUAAUUUUUAA